UAAAAAUUAUAAUAGUAAUUAUUAUUACUAUUAUGAGCAUAAUAGUAAUAAUAAUAUGCUUGAAAUUAUUUUAUCUUAUUAUGUGUAAUUUUUGAUUUACCAUAAUAUUAAAUAUUAGAAUUUGUGAAAAGACCAUAAUACCCUCAAGUAUGGGAUUGGUUCAAGGGGCAUUUUAGAGACUUUAUUUCUUCUGUUUUAACAUGAUUAAAUAUUCAUAAAAUUGAUUAAAUUUUUGAAAUUUAACUGAUAAUAUCAGUUGUGGAACUUAGUCAAUUUAUUUUAUUUUUUUUUAAAGAAAAUAAAUAAAUAAAUUCCUUGAAAAGAGGAUUUUACCACUUCAAACGCUAAUUUAUUUUUUUUAAAACCUAUUUCCAAAACGUGUUACCAUGAUAAUCUGAUGAAGAAAUCGUGGGAAUAUUGAGGGAAUCAAAGGAUUGAAGAGAGAGAGUGUUCUUAUCGUUUUUUUUAAAGAGAAGAAAUUUUUGAGUUCUUGCACUUGGGAAAAAUCUGGGCAGUAAAGAGCAUUGUAGAAUCAUUCUAGGGGAGGAAAUAAACAUUUUGAGUGUGAGAAAUACAUUUAUAAAGCCUCGGAUUGUGAUUCACCAUUUUUAUCCAAGAAAAUGCAUAUUCUUGGAUAAUUUUGGAUUUAAGUGUGUUCAAGAGUGUAUGGUGUGUGUGGGUGGUGAUAAACAAGCUUAGGGGACUCCAAUAAUCGGUUUUGACGUGAAGAAAUGGGCUGAAAUGGUCUAGAGCAAGAAAAACUAAUUUUGAGCUCCAUUUUUGGCGGUACACCGGACUUGGAGAAGAAGACUUCGGAACAAGGGGUUACGGACAUCUUUUUGGGCUGGGGUCUAUUGAUUUGAAGUUCUGGACAUAAGGGGAUCAUUUUCCAAGCAAGAGAAGGAUUGGAAAGCAGCAAAAGUCAGCCAUAGAGUCGCCGUCGCCGGAGAAGAAGACAAAACCGGCGAUAUUUCCGGCGAACCCGAUCUGGGUGUUUACUGAGGAGCUAGUGGUCAUCGAGGUGACGCAGCGAGUGGUUCGAGACACGUCAGCGGAAAACGCACUGUGUAAGGUAAGAAGAGUGGACAUCUGCGCAUAGGGUGUACGUUAUGCGUACAACCUUGUUUUCUUAUUUGUUAGUUAUGUAAUUAUAUUUGUGACCUGAAUUGUUGCAUUAGGUUGACUAGCAUGAGGAUAGUGCUAGAGAUUUUAGUUAGUAGACAUGCUAAGAGGAUAGAGUAGGCGUGCUACUAGAUUUUAGCUGCUUGUGUGAGUAUAGCACUUGCAGGAAUUAUCUUGGGUGUGUAUAACUCAUGAUAAUAGGAUGCCACCACGGAACUGCCGAGUGUGAGUACAGCGCAGGCAGGGCAACGAUGUCUCGAGGGAACGGCCGAGUGUGAGUACAGCGCAGGCUAGACUAGUAGCCACCGUGGGAAUGCCGAGUGUGAGUACAGCGCAGGCAAGGCAGAUUACAUUUCAUGUCCGAUCAACAUGACUUGUUAGUAUUUAUGUGUGUGAGUGUAACUCACAUUAUGUUAGUGUGAUAUGGUGUUUAUAUAUCACACGAUGAUUAUUGUGCUUAUGAUGUUUAUUUAUGUUUAGUUGAAAGUUUAUGUUUUCUGGUUUGGGGAGUUAUGUCCUACAUAGCUCUUCUUACUGGGCGUUAGCUCACGGGUACUCUGUGUGCAG